UUAAUACUCCCUCCACCCCAAAAUUUUUGUCUUAGAUUUGUCUAAAUACGGAUGUAUCAAGUCAUGUUUUAGUAUUAGGUACAUCCAUAUCGAGACAAAUCUAAGACAAGAAUUUUGGGACGAAGGGAGUAGUAC
rfam:Triticum aestivum genome assembly, contig: Triticum_aestivum_CS42_TGACv1_scaffold_591791_7BS